AGUGAACGCUGGCGGUAGGCCUAACACAUGCAAGUCGAACGGCGGCACAGUAAGAGCUUGCUCUUACGGGUGGCGAGUGGCGGACGGGUGAGGAAUACAUCGGAAUCUACUUUUUCGUGGGGGAUAACGUAGGGAAACUUACGCUAAUACCGCAUACGACCUACGGGUGAAAGCAGGGGAUCUUCGGACCUUUCGCGAUUGAAUGAGCCGAUGUCGGAUUAGCUAGUUGGCGGGGUAAAGGCCCACCAAGGCGACGAUCCGUAGCUGGUCUGAGAGGAUGAUCAGCCACACUGGAACUGAGACACGGUCCAGACUCCUACGGGAGGCAGCAGUGGGGAAUAUUCGACAAUGGGCGAAAGCCUGAUCCAGCCAUACCGCGUGGGUGAAGAAGGCCUUCGGGUUGUAAAGCCCUUUUGUUGGGAAAGAACAGCAGCAGGUUAAUACCCCGCUGUUCUGACGGUACCCAAAGAAUAAGCACCGGCUAACUUCGUG
rnacentral:rRNA from 1 species